UCCUUUUCCGAUUAUAUGAGUACAUGGACACUUGGUUGGCAACAUUACCGAUGCAGCUAUGCCUGGCUCCAUAACCGUCGGUCUUGAGCGAUGUUUCUCCAGUUUUCCCGAAUGUUUAGGUCCCCAGGUCCGAUUCCACCGCAAACAGCCAGCGUGAUAGUGGCCUUCCAUGAAUGCACCACCAGCGGUUCUCGACGUAUCGACAUAUAAUAUUCUACGUAUGCGGUCACAAACAGCAGAUUCCCGGGUCUUCAAUUCUAGUCUAGUGGAUCGAUUGAGAUUCCUAUAGACUUGAUCCUAGGUAGCGAUAUUCCGGCGGCGACGCAUGCUACUAAAGAACUGGAAGACCACAAUCUGAUUGCUAUCUUGGAAGGUGAUGAUGCGAACAUUACGGAACAGCGACCGAAAUUUAAGUUAAAGUCGGUGGUGGCGACGAAGCCAUUGCCAUUCAUGAAAUCCAAUAAGAAGAACCGCAAAAAGAAUAAGCAUAUUAAGAAGAAAAAGAAGGUAUCUUCCUCAUCAUCCGCGGAUUCGUCAUCAUCGGACAACAACGAGGAGGAAGAGGAGUGGGUCGAAAAGUCUGGUAGCAAAGCGGAAGCCAGAGCCGGAACUUCCAUGGGUAGUGGUGGCGCGGACGAGGAACUGGGCGAUGGCGUCGUGGGACCGAUUAAAACCAGCCGUAAUCUAAGCCAGAAGGACUUUGGUCGGGCACUGCUGCCUGGUGAGGGUGCCGCGAUGGCCGCCUAUGUGACCGAGGACAAGCGAAUUCCGCGGCGUGGUGAAAUCGGGCUUACAUCGGACGAGAUUGUCAACUUUGAGGACUUUGGAUACGUGAUGAGCGGUAGCAGACAUCGUCGUAUGGAGGCGGUCUGUAUUCGUAAGGAAAAUCAAAUCUAUUCUGCCGACGAAAAACGAGCGCUGGUCAUGUUCAGCAAGCAAGAACGUCAGAAGCGCGAAAACAAGAUCCUGUCACAGUUCAAGGAGAUGAUCAGCGCUAAACUAGCCAAUGACAAGCGUUGAGUAGUUUAGCGUUAACAGGCGUUAGCUAGUAUUAACUUAACUGCGCGCGUGCUCUCAGAGCCUUUGGAUGAGACAACGUAUCAUGAAGCAAAUCGAUCCUAAUGAUAAAAUAUAGAAACACAACAACACAACUCCAAUCUGCAAAAUCGAAUUGCAUAAUUGUUCAGAUCAAACUGACUUCGAAGAUGCAAUUCCGGUCAUUGUAGUUGAGUCACAAAACUUUACCCCAGUUGACGCCACACCUUCGUUAGAGAGCAUCCAAUCGAGAGUAAUCGACGCAUCUACCGUCAUGGACACUGCGGAUGACAAUUUACUGCCAAACUCGGACCCGAUGUUUGCACUCCUGUUCACCAAGUGAAAAGCGUGACUAGCGUAAUUCAAGAAUUGCAUGAAGCUGACCGAGAACUUUCCGAGAACCAAAUUGCUCGAAUCCAAAACAAAGUGAGAAUGUUGGACAUUUUGAUGAAGUAGCUUGUACUGAGAAAACUACCGAGUUGAGCACGCAGCAACCAGAUGAGUUGGAGUGGAAUUAGGAAAUUGUGAAAGCACCGAAAUGAACCUACGGUCGUUCUAGACAGAAAAAGUUUUAAUCGAUCCACCGGACAAGCUUAAGGUAGUUGACUCCCAUGGCUGGCGCUGGGUACAUGUAGAAGAGUCCGAUGACAACGACGUCAAUUUACAUCAAAAUCUGUGGGAUGGUUGCGAUCCUUUCCGAUUACAAUUCACGUCAGGUGAUUUCAACAACUCUACUGAAAAUUUUGCGAUUGAAUCAAGAAAGCAAUAGGUUAUCGUAAUAGAUGAUGAUGAAGUAGUAAUCAAAAUGAAGCCCGAAGAAAUUGUGGAAUCUCAUCAGGAAACUCAGGACGACGAGGCAUUGCAAAUACAGAAAAAAAUCGAAACAGGAAGUGAAAUUCUUCGAAUAUCUGAAGAUUAUAAAGUUCUGAACCCUCAAGAUGCCAAUCAACCGGUUGUUGAAUCUGAAACAGAAUUACCACCUGCAACAUCUGCCUCGGUGUCAUCACAAAAAACUAUGUUAAACACUUGACAAAAUCAAGACGUUCGCAUUAAAAAGAAAAUCUGAAGCAAUCCAAUCGAAGGCCAAAGAACAGGCACCCAAAUCAAAAAAGCGCAUUCUAAAACACAUCGCAUUGAAAUGGUCAACUAGCCUAUCUGUCGGAAAACCGAAAAGACCGCCUCGUGAAAGCACGGUAGUUAAUCCACGUCAACGGCACGCCGUUCAAACGCAAGCUCUCUCGUUGUUGGAUGCUCUUUUUAGGCAACCCAAACUCCCACCGUUGCAACGCACGUCUUCUACAACUCCUUGCCCUUCAACGUCGUCGCGGUCCGCAUCUCGUUCCUCGGUAGUUCCAAUGCCUAUCGUCGUAUCAAGAAUGAAAAUCGAGGCUUUCGGAAUUUUUGAGGAUGUUGAGGUCGGCUGAAAGGAACGCAGAAAAAUUUGCAUGAGUUGUGGGCCUUGCUGAAUUUUCUGUUGCCGGAUAUUUUCAACAUCGGAAAUGAUUUUGACUCCUGGUUCGACGCUAAUGAAUGCAUCGGGGGACGCUAAUGAAUGCAUCAAAAUGAUUGAACGUUUCCAUGUGGUAUUGAAGCCUUUCUUUCUCCUGAAAUCGGAAGUAUAGAAGAGGGUGCUGCCAAAAAGGAGGUCAAAACGUGCGAAAAUCAAGUUAUUAAUCAAGUGGUUAAAUUGGUUAUUCAACAAAGGCGUUUUGUGGACAACAAAAUCAUGUUGAACAUCAUUCGAUUCAGCAUCAAUCGCGUUUUCGACCAUAUGUUGCAGAAAUGUGAAAAGCAAACCGCAGAGCAAGCUGCCAAGCAGGUCGAAUCUACGAACCCAAAGUAUCGAUAGCUCCCCUUCCUCCGAAGCAACCAAUUGUUCACGACUUCAAGGUCCCCAAGAAUCCGGACCUGGGCAUGGAAGCAAGCAAGGUCCAAUAGAAGGAAAAGCGUAAUAUCCACAAAGCGGACCCGCUCAGAGAUUAGGAGCUUUUUGGGAAUGAAUCGCUGCUGACGCAAGGCUUCACCUACUGGAACAAACAAGACUUCAGUCAGUUCAAAAGUCAAAACCAACGAAUCGGUCGGAAUGGCAUUGAAAACAUUGCCAAGGAGGUGGAGGACAAACACCGGAAGAGGUUAUGGAGUACAGUGCGGGCUUUUGUGAACGUUGCCACGAAAUGCAGGACAUUGAGCAGCUGAUGAUCAGAUCGAACGGAGCGAGGCGAUGAUUCAACACCGGGCUUGGAAAUACGGAGUGACGGUAAGCUAGCAAUUGUUUUAUGUGUGUAUAAUGAUUUGUAAUAUGUUUACAAAAAUAGUAUUCGUGAAUAAAAAUAUUA